CGACAACCAAAGCCCAUUGCACAACGUGGACUGCGUAAGAGUUAAAAAUAGAUUUGACGUGCCUCCUACCUGCAUAAUAAAUAUUCCAUCAAAAUCCUGAGCAGUAUUGACAAACCACACGAGCACCGGGUCUGACUGCAUGAUCAGCUGUCUGUGUCUACGCUACACCCUGUUAACCACAAGCAGUGUUAGAGCUAAAUAUAUCUGCAAUGCAGAAACAGCCCAAGCUGGACCAAGAGACUGAGCUGUGCCUCCUGCUAUAUCGAAGACAUGCUGCAUG